GCUUGCAUGUCUGCCAAACAUCUUGCAAGAGCAGCUCUCUCGGCGGCCUCCAUCCACUCCCUCACCUUCGGCACCGCUCUGCCCAGCCCCACCCCGCCAUGGAGCCUGUUUUCUUAAGAAUCACCGAGGACGUCAUCCAGAGACCAUUUCACAAUCUCAUCCUCAGCUUCCGACACUGUUGAAUGGAGACCGCUGAGCCAGGCACUGUCAGAAUGUAAGCUCAGGAGGUAGCUUCGUCUUGGUAACUGAUGGAUUCUGAGUAAAUACCUGGCACACAGUAGAUGCUCAAUAUUUGCUGGAUGAAGAUGAAUCAACGUUGGCGUCCCACGUGUUGUGGCUCCUGACGCGGCGGGCAGAUGGACCUGGUUCCUUCCGUAACAAGGGAGUGAGCAAAGCUCUACAAGAACAGAAAUCCCAGUGUCAGGACUGCCUGGUAGGUGCAGUUGAGGAAACCAGUGCUGCCGUCCCAGA